GACGAACGCUGGCGGCGUGCCUAAUACAUGCAAGUAGAACGCACAGUAUAUACCGUAGCUUGCUACACCAUAGACUGUGAGUUGCGAACGGGUGAGUAACGCGUAGGUAACCUGCCUGGUAGCGGGGGAUAACUAUUGGAAACGAUAGCUAAUACCGCAUAAUAUUAAUUAUUGCAUGAUAAUUGAUUGAAAGAUGCAACUGCAUCACUACCAGAUGGACCUGCGUUGUAUUAGCUAGUAGGUGAGGUAACGGCUCACCUAGGCGACGAUACAUAGCCGACCUGAGAGGGUGAUCGGCCACACUGGGACUGAGACACGGCCCAGACUCCUACGGGAGGCAGCAGUAGGGAAUCUUCGGCAAUGGACGAAAGUCUGACCGAGCAACGCCGCGUGAGUGAAGAAGGUUUUCGGAUCGUAAAGCUCUGUUGUAAGAGAAGAACGGGUGUGAGAGUGGAAAGUUCACACUGUGACGGUAUCUUACCAGAAAGGGACGGCUAACUACGUGCCAGCAGCCGCGGUAAUACGUAGGUCCCGAGCGUUGUCCGGAUUUAUUGGGCGUAAAGCGAGCGCAGGCGGUUAGAUAAGUCUGAAGUUAAAGGCUGUGGCCUAACCAUAGUACGCUUUGGAAACUGUUUAACUUGAGUGCAGAAGGGGAGAGUGGAAUUCCAUGUGUAGCGGUGAAAUGCGUAGAUAUAUGGAGGAACACCGGUGGCGAAAGCGGCUCUCUGGUCUGUAACUGACGCUGAGGCUCGAAAGCGUGGGGAGCGAACAGG
rnacentral:rRNA from 1 species